CCUCAAUUUCUGAUCCAACGCCUCGAGCCUCCCGAAGACGCGACCCAACCUCGAUACCCCCGCCAUCCACCCACCGGCAUUCACUCCGCCGCCACCCGCCGGCAUUCACUCCGCCCGCAGCACACCAUGGUCGAGGUCGCCGCCUCCUCCUCUCCCCAACGCAUUCCCCUCCAAUCUCCCCCCUCUCCCCCUCCCAUCCUCUCUAGUCUAGUCCCACAGCGAGGAAUAGCUAGUCGGUGGGGCGGCUCGCCGGCCACCUGCAGCAGACGUAGCCAGCCACCAGCCGCGGCCCUCGCGGAUGCAGGCGUCCACGUUGUAGCGCCGGUCGCCCAUCUUGGGCCCCGCAUCACCGCCGGCGAGCGCGUCCGAGUGCCCCGGGUGUCUGCAUCUCCCGCUGACCCUCCUCCUCCGCCCUUUUCUCCAUCUCGGAUGGAUUGCAGCAGCUGCAGGGGCAGCCUCCUCCGAUGGCAGAAGGGGAUGAGGGGGGCGACCUGGACAUCCUCGAGAUCGCCCAGCCCCAACUAGACGGAGGCGCCCUCCAUGACGCCGCCCCGCAAAAGAUUGAUCAGACAUAUUCUUGAGCACCUAUGUGAGAGAGAUUGAACAGGAGACGCUGUGCAUCUUGCCGUGAAGUGGCGACCACAGUGGCACUCUAGUUGGCGCCGAAGUCGGACAGUGACCAACGUCACCGCAACGCCAUGUGCACUCCUUCUCGGUCCUCCCUGCCCUCGGACCAAGAGCUGAGAGGCAUUUGGAGCGUUGCUGCCCUGACCUAGCUGACGAACCAAGGCUGCUAGCUGCUGCUACUACUGCAUGUCUUCGUUUAGUUUGUUCUGCCAUAGUGAGCCCUAGUGGUGGAAGUUCAUCCAGGCGGCAACAUUUCGUAAAGAAGGUGUCUUGUAAAGAAGUAUUCAUUGGAGCACUACACGGCCCGUCCUCAUGGGGCUCCGCAGACAUGGUCUAUCGCCAACUGGCUCGGGCGGUGCGGCUUGCCUCCAGUCCGUUAUGCCUUGACCCGGCGGCGUAUGCAGUACUGUUCCAUUUGUUGUAAUACUAAGUAUUCGAAUUGUGUUGUCCAAAUCAGUAGAUUUAGUUCUUACCUGUGUAUUUCUUUAUUAUCUACUUGCAGUUGUCAUCUUUACUACAUUCAUAUACUCCAUGUAUACUUAAAUACCUAUGCGUUAUGCAUAGUACUAGUAGUUCAUUGUUUGUGAA